CAUGACUUCUGAGCUCUCUGUAAUGCCCAGUGGAGUUUUUUGUGAAAACCAGCUGAUUCCCGCCCUUGGGUCUCAGGAGUCUCUUUACUGUCCUUCUGAUAAAUCCCCCAUUUCACUAGAGUUAAUUUGUGUCGGCUUCUGUUCCUUGUAAACAAAUAAGCCUUGGCCCAGACAGGGAUAUAAGCAGAAGGAAGAACAUCAGGCUAGAGAUCAGAAGACCUUAGUGGCUUUGCCACUGAGUAACUGUGUGACAUCAGGUAAAAUAUUUCAUCUCUCAGAACCUCAGUUUCCACUCUUGUAAAGUGAGAAUGCUGACAAUACCUAGCAUACAGGAGCAAUUGAGCAACAUGCUUAACAGCAUUUUGUUGCUAUAUAAUUACUAAGUGAGUUAACUUGUCCACGAUCACUAUAACGAUGGGAAAUUCAAGCAUCAUAGUUGGCAAGCCAUAAGAGAGCUGCUAGGGAGAGACUGAGCAUUGUUCAACCAGAAGUCACUUUGUACAAGAGCCUCCUGGGAGUGGAGCUGCAUGUGGACACUGUCUGGAGUCAGGAGGAAGGGUAUGAUGGCUUUGAGAAUGCCCUACCCGUAAGACACCAGCUUCCAGGAGACAAUCACCUGGAGAGCCCCAGUCACCCCAGGGGAGGCAGCGGAGCAUCUACCUCUGGCUCUAUCUCUAGAACCAUUCUUUCUCUGUAUGCCUCUGAGUUGUUAGGUCAGGGAUGGUGUCUCUCUUGCCAAUAGCCCUGUCUCUAGAGGCACACAGGCCUGGCACACAGUAACUGAAUGAAUGUCUCCGUGCCUCUGUCUGUCUCUAUGAGCCUCUGUUAGCUGUUUUUUAAUGUGACCCUCUCGCUUGCUCUCUCUUCUCUCUUUUUUUCUCUCUCUCUUCUCUCUUUUUUUUCUUUCUCUCUCUCUCUCUCUCUCUCUCCCUCUCCCUAUUAUUUCUCUCUCUUGUCUCCUCUGUCUCUCCCUCUCUGUCUCCCUCUGUCCUCGCUGUCUCUCCCGCAUCCUCCUCUGUCUCUCCCCACCUCACGGGCACACGCACUCACACCUGCCCCAGACCUCUCCCUCUCCCGGGCUCCCUUUGUCUUGGUCCCUCUCCCGUUGCCUGGUAACCGCCCUCCCCUUCACCAGCCCCACGGAAACUAUAGCAACGGGCAGCCGGAAGAUGCGGCCAUUCCUCUCCCUUUUGUCCCUUGCAUUUCAGCGGCGCCAGCGCACGUGGACGCUCCAAUUACAGAUGUAAAGUCUAAUAGUCUAAAGAAGUCCCACUCCCUUGCCAGAGACUGGUCUGGGAAAAAGACAUGGGACCUAGCUUCUGACCAGUGGCUUCUGGGAAGUGUUUCCUUGCACUUAAAGCAACAUAAUUAAGAGCAGGCUUCUCAACUUCCCUGGAUGUUGUGUCUGCAUAUGCCACCCGGAACCACAGCAGCCACUUUGUGACCUUGAGAGGAGCUGACAUGAGGGUAAAUUCCAUGAACUCAGAGAUGGAAGGAAUCCAAGUCAGAUGACAUCAUUGAAAUGCUGACUAACCACAGAACUAAAUGACCUCCAGACUACCUGUUAUGAACUUUAUGAAAGUCUUUCUUAAAUAUAUUGAAUCAUGGUUUUCUAUUACUUGCAACCAGAAGCCCCCUCCCUAAUACAAUGAACUUUAAUUCUGGUGUUAGACUGCAUGGGUUCUAACCUUCAUUCCACCAACCAUUAGCCAUGUGACCUUGGGCAAGUCUCUUGACCAUUCUGACCUUGGUUUUCCUCUUCUGUAGAAUAUGGUAGGUGAUAAAAAUUUAGGACCAGUGGGAGGCUACAAUAGGAGGAUGAAAAUCAAAGCAUUUUGCAAAUGGAAAAGCCCGAGGUAUUGCUGGAUAUUAUUGUUGAUGUUAUAGAUUCAGCAGGACCAGGAGAAGCCUGAGGCAUCCUGGGGGGCUCAGAGCCUGCUCUUGUUCCUGGGGAUGGACUCUAGGAAGGGAGCAGCUGCAGCUGCUCAGAUAAGAGCACAUUUGCAUUCUCCCAGCCUCCCUGCCCAGAGCUCUGCAGACUGAGCCAGACAAACAGCCUUUCUUGGGGGCACAGGGCCAG
rnacentral:lncRNA from 1 species